UACGGGGGGGGCAAGCGUUGUUCGGAAUUACUGGGCGUGAAGGGCUCGUAGGCGGCCAACUAAGUCGGAUGUGAAAUCCCCAGGCUCAACUUGGGAACUGCAUCCGAUACUGAUUGGCUUGAAUCCGGGAGAGGGAUGCAGAAUUCCAGGUGUAGCAGUGAAAUGCGUAGAGAUCUGGAGGAACACCGAUGGCGAAGGCAGCCCCCUGGGCUAACACUGACGCUCAUGCACGAAAGCGUGGGGAGCAAACAGG
rnacentral:rRNA from 1 species